UAGCAGCAGGGGACCGGAGCCCAGAGCAAGCGUCAGGAAACCUCGGAGUGACGGGCGCGGGGGUCCCCUGGUCAGCGAGGGUCUACCACGCACAGCCUCGGAGGCGCUUGGGUAACCGGAACUCCCUCAGAAGCAUUCAGGUUGAGGCUUUGCAGUCUUGGGAUGUUCUCAAACUUUCGGUGCUCAAGCGUUUCAGAGUCCAGACGUAAUCCGUGUUUGUUUGCACAAAAGAAACAGUAAAUAUAAGCGGUGGAUCCGAACACAGUUAUCGCCCCAGCCUCCAGCGCCACGCCCCCAACCCCCUUGCCCUCGUGGGCGCCCCGUCGGGGCUCUGCCUCCCAGACACACGGGCACGGGCACGAGGGGGAUUUUGUUGCGCUUUUGCGGAAGUAGACCCAGACCACACACGUGACCCUGCAGCUUGCUUUUUCUCACCGCUGGAGCUAAAUCUUGGGGCUUCCCUCCCAGUCAGCAGAGAGAGCCCUGCAAACGCGAGGGGUGACUCUAGCCAAGACUGGCAGCUGGAGGCCUUUUCAUUCAUUGCUCCUACUGAAGACCUUUCGAGACUUCUAAAUUUGGUCAGAGUGUCAGAGGCCGUGCAGGGUGCCUGCGUGCUAAAAAUACCAGCCCCGGUCUGGGGUGGAGGCUGCCCCCGGGGUCCUCCACAGGCACCGUCAGUCCCCUCCUAAGACCCUUGGACUCUCUGUGCCGACACCGGUGCCCCAGGCCACGCAGAUGGCAGCGCGGCACUGGUCCCCAGGUGACCAGGCUGGAAUACCCAAACCUCGCCAAAGGGAGUCACUCCCCGCUGUGGUCUCGUGACCUCCUCGCUCGUGUUCGCUGAGCACCUGCUGUGUGACCUUGCUGGGGAAAGAGAGGAUUAGGACUCUGUCCCUGCCCUGGAAGAGCCUGCCUGCUCGUCGGGAAGGUUUGUUUAUUUUAACGCGGGGGGUGUUGAGAGAAUCCCAAGCCGACUCCAUGCUGUCAGUGCAGAGCCCGACUUGGGGCUUGAACACACAAACUGCGAGAUUGUGACCUGAGCCCACCCCCCCCCACCUGAACCCCAAGAGCGCCUGGGGGAGGGGUGCAGCCUCAGGGAAGUCAGGCUGCCGGGGGUUCGUGUGGUGAUGAGGUGUGAUUUCAGCAAGGAAAUUGGCCAAGUUAGUGCAGGAUGUCAGAGAAGGUUCCUCAAACUGAGGCAGCAAGGGAGGUAGAGAGGAGGGUCUGACUCACCUCCCAGCGCUUUGGGUCGAUACAAAUAUACCAACAUCUCCACGCAGCGUUGCUGAUUUUUCCAGAAUCGCUUCAAAGUAAGAAACAGGGCCAGGCGGAGAUCAUGCUACCCCGGGAGGAUGGGACAAGACCACAUGACCUCUAUGGUCUUCUUGCGAACACCCAGAGCCCUGGCCCAACCACGAGAAGAACGGCAGGCUGGCCCCGACUGGAGGACAUCUCACAAAACCUCUGAGCCGAGUCCCCAGAAUGGCCAGAUCAGCAAAUCCAAGGAAUGGUGGAAAAAGCAUCACAACCCCGAGGAGUGAGGAAGCACGGCACGUGUCCCGGACAGGACCCUGGAGCAGGGAAGGGACGGAAAACCUGGUGAAGUCCACAUAAAGUCUAGAAUUUAGUGACUAAUAACGUGCCGAUGUCAGGUUCUUAGUUUGGACAAAUGUAACCCGGUCGCGGAGAAGGGUAACGUUCCGGGAAAUGCAGGAAAUUCAAACCGAGGGAGGGAUAAUCCGGGAACUCUCUGUACAGCCUUUGCAACUUUUCUUCAGAGUUCAAGGGCACCCUUGAAGUGCACAGGGAGCCCAGGGAGCUUGGAUGUACAGAAAUGUGCAAAGUAAGAAAUUCAAACCUGCUUUUCAGCCCUUCUCUCCCAAGUCCACACCCCAGGAGCUAAAAUGUGAUGUGUGGCUUUUCCUUACCUUCGAGAGUCCUUC